GGGUCAUUAGGUUGGUCGUGCCACCGGUACGUACUGGUCUCACUGAUUCCUCCUUCCUGAAGAACCGUAAUGCCAUUAAUUUGGUGUUGCGGGGAAACAGGACUGUUACUUUGAAAAAAUUAGAGUGUUUAAAGCAAGCUAACGCUUGAAUACAUUAGCAUGGAAUAAUGAAAUAGGACGAUCGAUCCUAUUUUGCUGGUUUCUAGGAUUGACGUA
rnacentral:rRNA from 1 species